CACCCGUUGCCCUCUCCAUCUGUCUCUCACUAUGAGCUAUUUGAGUAUGAUGGAGGCUAGGUUGCCUCUAGGGUUCAGAUUUCACCCGAGUAUGUGCGUGCGGAUUGCUUGAGGCCAUAAACCGUCUGCAGUAUAAGAUGUUUAUGAGAUGAUGCUUGUCUUGUAUACUCAGGUUGAAGCCAUCAGUGACUAAUGGAGAUCCAAUGAAUUUCGAGUAAUUUCACUUUGGUUAUGCUGCUUGCUUCUUAUGAAUCAUAUUUUUAAGCCAAAGUCCGAUGUUAGCAAGCAAUAUGAUCUAAUCACGAUGAAUUCAGACACGCUAGUUUACAAUAUUUUUCCUUACAUUUUGUUACUGAACUAGUUUUGUUUUCAUCUUAUGAUAUCAGAACCCUGUUAUAGAAAUAACUUGGGGACAUUCUUUUUAUCAUAGAAUAUUGUAGAAUAGCAUACCACCCUUGCUUACAUUGAGACGUGUACUGAGACUGGCCUUUGUUACUGUAUUUCAAUAAUAUACUGCUGACAUUAUCAUGGAGAUUCAGUUGAACUGGAAGUAACUGGGUAGUGCAUGUUUAAGAGCCUCUUGUUUACUUUUAGCUGAGAUUAUUCCAUGAGUUAAAAAAUGAACCUGGUAGAUGUGAUGAUAAAGAAUAUCUGAGAUAUUGUUUUCUUAUUUAUUUGAUAUAUAUGAGAAGUGACUUCUUACAACAUUAGGUCCAUGUUAAAACUUUCUCAUCGCCAAGUUAUCAAUUUAAAGUGUAUAAAUGGUUCUUGUGUAUGAAGAAAAGGGUGGGGGGAAAGCGCGGUGACGAUUUUGUAAUCGAAGAAACCUAUAGAUAUCCCAAGCAAAGUGGAAAUGAUUCCUGAAAGUUGCCAGCAUUCUUGAGUUUUAUUUUUUCGACUGCACGACCAACUAGAAAGCCCUCAAACGACCGGGAGCAGCGUAGGAUCGGUACUAUCGACCCGUAGAAAUGUACGCGGUGCAACACGAGGGAAGGGGACAGAGAGAUUGGUGAGACAAUUGGUUCAUGCGAUUUCAGUUCCGAUCCCUUCCUCGAGUGGAGCACCGGAGGGGGAGCAUGCGACAUCCCUCGCGAAUGAGAUUGGGAAGGAGAUCCGAUCAUCUGCGUACCGGUUCGCAAUUGUGGUUGGGACAAUAUUGAUGCUGGGAUUCGAGAGGCGAUCAUUAUGAGAGUUCGGUGAAUCAUGGAAUUCAGCUAAUGUUUGCCAGAGUAGCAUGUUUUGCUCAGCUUGGUGAGGAGAAUCAGUUACACUCGGGUAUGUAGAAUUUGCUCUAUUCAGUACAUUUCUCUGGAUGUUGUUUUGGAUUUGUUUCCUAUGGCCUAGACGGGGAAAUGCUUUCCGGGAGACUGUGUUGCUGUUAUUGGUUUUGCUGUACAUUCCUACCAAGAAGUUCCUGUCCUACACUGUAUGCGAGAGACAAACACUGUUGCAGAUGCACUAUCUAAACUGGGCCAUGGUCUUCCUCAAAUCCAUUUGUUCUUUGUAAUUAAUGAUACAAAUUUGAUAUUGUUGUUUCUAGUUUUCUUGAUGUAAUCUGUUUUUGAGAGACUUUAUGUACUUGGGUAUGCAAGAGGAAGUUUGUAAAUUAACGCUUUUAGCGCUCAAGGGGAAAUGG